AGCUAUUUCCGACCGAGGCACUUAUGACGGCUGGUGUGCGAGUGGCUGGGGGAAACGUUGAUGGUUGAAUGUAGGGAUUUAGGAUGCAACAUCGUGUUCCUGACCCAAAACGAGCAGAUAAUUAUGAGAAAUGUACUGUAGAGGUUAAGCAAAGCGUCUUGUUUACGACUGCGUUGCACUCGACUUCUACGGCACAACAGGGGCAUUAAAAAGUAAUUUGCGAUUUAUGUCACUCUCAAUCGGUGAAAAACAUCGUUGGAGCUCGGUUAGAAAAUUCAAGUGAGUGUAGUGCGAAAUAUUUCAGAUACGUGGCAUAAUUAAAAUACCAUGUUUAAAAAUAAGGAGUUAUCAGCUGUUUGCACUAGGUAUAACACGAGAUGCAGCAGUUGACUGUUUCAAACAAAUUAAAAUAUAUAGGAGAUUUUGUUGAAGGAUUACUCUACACACCGAAUUCCCGAAGACCAGCUAUCUAACAGUGUACUGAAUAUUUGGCAAUUGCUUCGAUUGCAAUAUUCGGUAUCUGCCAUCGACAUCUGACACGCACUGCGGCUGUCAAAAUGAAAAAUAUAGUUUGUUAUCAACUUGUUUAUUGCGCGAAAAGUUCGCUGUUCGGUGGGGGCGUCGGCAUACAUUCCGCGGCCAUCGGAUGGACUUCGGCGGCACAUUUUAUGAGAAUCAAACUCAUUUCUGUACAAUAAGGGUAAGCUUUAAUAAAUCAUAAGAAAAAUCA